UCCCCCAGUAGCGGCGAGCGAACGGGGAGGAGCCCAGAGCCUGAAUCAGCAUGUGUGUUAGUGGAAGCGUCUGGAAAGGUGCGCGAUACAGGGUGACAGCCCCGUACACAAAAGCGCAUGUGCUGUGAGCUCGAUGAGUAGGGCGGGACACGUGGUAUCCUGUCUGAAUAUGGGGGGACCAUCCUCCAAGGCUAAAUACUCCUGACU
rnacentral:rRNA from 1 species